ensembl:lncRNA
GUCAGGCUGUGUGGGCAUCAGGUCCAUGUGGUCAGGCUGUGUGGGCAUCAGGUCCAUGUGGUCAGGUCCAUGUGGUCAGGUUCACGGCUGGGUCAGGCCCUGGACAGAAGGUGGAAGCUGACAGUCGGAGGGAUUCGAUGAGGCUGACAGGACAGUCUCGUCAAGACUUUGUCUGGUCCAGAUUGUGGCUUGUGUGUCACUGUGGCUCAUCCUUUACGUGUCUCAUCCUUUACUUGUCUCAUCCGUGACUUUAUCUCAUCCGUGACUUGUCUCAUCCGUGACUUUAUCUCAGCCAGAAUGGGAGCUGUUUCUAUAUUCCCAUUAAGUGAGUA